UACGGGGGGGGCAAGCGUUGUUCGGAAUUACUGGGCGUAAAGGGCCCGUAGGCGGCCAACUAAGUCAGACGUGAAAUCCCUCGGCUUAACCGGGGAACUGCGUCUGAUACUGGAUGGCUUGAGUUUGGGAGAGGGAUGCGGAAUUCCAGGUGUAGCGGUGAAAUGCGUAGAUAUCUGGCGGAACACCGGUGGCGAAGGCGGCAUCCUGGACCGGUAUUGACGCUGAGGAGCGAAAGCCAGGGGAGCAAACGGG
rnacentral:rRNA from 1 species